CUGAGCGGCGGACGGGUGAGUAACGCGUGGGUAACCUGCCUCAUACAGGGGGAUAACAGUUAGAAAUGACUGCUAAUACCGCAUAAGACCACGGUACCGCAUGGUACAGUGGUAAAAACUCCGGUGGUAUGAGAUGGACCCGCGUCCGAUUAGGUAGUUGGUGGGGUAACGGCCUACCAAGCCGACGAUCAGUAGCCGACCUGAGAGGGUGACCGGCCACAUUGGGACUGAGACACGGCCCAG
rnacentral:rRNA from 1 species